CCUCUUUCUCUUCUAUUCUCUUCUCUACCUCUCAUUCUCUGGUUCUCUUCCUCUCUUCCUCACUCUCUAUGAUUCAGUAGAUUUUUUUUCUCUAUCAUAAUAAAUCGCUUGUAUAUCAGUAUUAGGUUUAGCUUCCUCUUCGUCUGCAAACUCAGUAUUUAGGUUUAGCUUCAUCUUCGUCUACAAAUAGAUCCAUCACAAAUGAAAUUCUUAGACCCAGUUUUGAGAUUUCUCUUAUCCGAAUCAGUAUGAAGAAAACUAAGGUUCUUAGAAAGAUUUCUCUAGUUUGCUAGUUUGGUUGGUGCUCAAAAGGAUUUUGAAUGAACGGAUCCAACAACUUCGUGAGAAACAACUUUUACGGUAUGCAAACAUCAUUACUUCUUCUGAUUUCAAUUUCUCAAAUUAGGGGUUAUUUAAUUUUAAUAUGUUGUUCUUGUUUGGAGUUCAAAUGCGUAGAUUCUGGUAUUUUUGAUUGAUUUUAAUUGUUUAUGUCGUAAGUAGUCAUUCAAUUUUGCUAAACGUAAAGGUAGUGAUGUGUGAUCUUGGAUCAAGUUCAGAGCUGAAGUCGGCAUGUAAUUCUGCACUAAUAAAAGCUGCAGAUGAGAAUAGAUUCUAUUGGCCAUGUUAGUGUUCGUGUGGACGGUUCUAGUGAUUUAUCUAGAAAUUUAUUGUUGCUUCUAAUGGUGCGUUAAGUUGAUGUAGUUAUCCGAAGUUGUUUAAAUUACUGUGUGCUAGCUAACUCAGAAGCAAGUCUACUGCUCGUAUUUAUAGCUACUUAAAGUAAUUUAUAUUUAUUGGAUUCAUUUGAUUUCUGGUUUA